UCUGGUGACGAUAGCAAAGAGGUCACACCUGUUCCCAUGCCGAACACAGAAGUUAAGC
rnacentral:rRNA from 1 species